rnacentral:lncRNA from 1 species
UGACACCAACUGCCCAUUUUGACACUCGCUCAUUAAUUUCCUUUCAAUAGGACGAUUCUCUCAGCUGUUGUGGCAAUUUACGGUUUUACAGACUUUUCUGGUACGGCUCUUUGUUGACUAUCCUUUCUGUGUUCAGGAGACGGUACACCACCAGAGGCCUGCAAGUGUGUCACAGAGUCAUUAGUGUAGUUUACCAUUUGUUUCAUUUCCACUCUCCCCAAGGGAGACUUCAGCGGAGCCCUUAAAAAGUCAAAAGAACAGAAUCAAUUAGUUCUCUCCAGCAAGACUGAAUGGGCUUGAUAUCAGGUAGAUCCAUGCCAGUGCUUUCUUCCCUAACUUGCACUGUUCCACACACUCAACCUGACUGGGUCCAGUAGAUCUCUAGUUCACAGAUUUUUUUUUCCCCAGUUGGGAGGUGUGUGUGCACACAUUGUGUGAGGGAGGUCACUUCCCUGCCAUGACUGGAAGCACUCACAG